GUCCUACGGGGGGCAGCAGUAGGGAAUCUUCCACAAUGGACGAAAGUCUGAUGGAGCAACGCCGCGUGAGUGAAGAAGGGUUUCGGCUCGUAAAGCUCUGUUGGUAGUGAAGAAAGAUAGAGGUAGUAACUGGCCUUUAUUUGACGGUAAUUACUUAGAAAGUCACGGCUAACUACGUGCCAGCAGCCGCGGGAAUACGUAGGUGGCAAGCGGUGUCCGGAUUUAUUGGGCGUAAAACGAAUGCAGGCGGAUCCAUAAAACUGAUGUGGAAGCCUUCUGGGCAACCGG
rnacentral:rRNA from 1 species